UGGGGGAAGUAUUGGGCAAUGGGCGCAAGCCUGACCCAGCAACGCCGCGUGAAGGAAGAAGGCUUUCGGGUUGUAAACUUCUUUUCUCAGGGACGAAGCAAGUGACGGUACCUGAGGAAUAAGCCACGGCUAACUACGUGCC
rnacentral:rRNA from 1 species